ensembl:lncRNA
UAGCAAUGUUUUGGGUGUGUAGAAGCUUGCUGCAACCCUGCAUGCCCAUUGGAUGUUUCCCAUUGCAUUUCUGUGCUGGAAAACCAAGCACUGAGCUUGCUGGCCCUUGACCACACUCCUUGUAGGGUGAGCAGGAUCACCUCCUCCUCCUUCCCCAGUGAACAAUCAGCCCCGUGCUGAAGCUGGGAGUUCCUGGGCUACCUCCGUGCCUGUGACCGACUGCUGAAGCAGGGCUAUGAGGAGGGGCAGGUGGAGGAGGCCAUGGAAAUGUUCCAGUACUCAGAGAAAAAGGCAGCUGAAUUCCUGCACUUGUUAGCUCAGUUCAAUGACAUGGGUUUCCAGCAAAACGAAAUCAAAGAAGUCCUCCUGCUCUGUGGGAACCAGAGGGACAAGGCGCUGGAAGAGCUCGUGAUGAAGAGGCAGUGAAUGUGGCUGGCACCAAAGGGGCAUCUUUGCCACCAGAGCAGGAUGCAUCCUGCUGCCCAUCCCUUCCUGGGCCACGUUUACAAAUACAGCCACAUGCGGAUUCUUACACCAUGAUAUAAAUAAUCUGAACUGAUAGUUUUUACAAAAGCCAAGUGCUUUUUGCAGGAGCAUUGGCUCUUCCUUUCUUGGGAAGAUUCUCGUCAGACUUUAUGACUGUUUGAACAGUUGUGAUGGGAAAUCUAGAUGUUAGCAUUUCCUUGUGAACUAGAAACUUGAAAAAAACGCACAGCUCAAAGAAGGGUACAGAGAGAACAUGGGCUGUGGUUGCUCUAGAUAGCUAAUGUGUGAUUUUAACCCAGGACAGUGCAAAAUGUCUUAUGCAAGGCUUUACACUCAGGAAAUCUGAACAGAGAGAUGGAGAACUGGCUUGCCUCUGCCUUUUAUUAAGCAAAUUCAAAGGGUGCUUCUCUAAAUGGCGAAGACAGUGGCUCAGAACCAGGUUUAGCACAAACACUGAGAUCAGGAGAAUCUGGGUGCCUGGGGGAGUUCCUGUGCACGGCUAAGUAUGGACAACAGGAGAUUCAGAUCACCUUAGGGGACAUUGCUCUUGUUUUGGCAGCAGGGCGAUGGGUGAUGUUCUCACAUAGAAGUACAUUAUUUCCCUGUAAAAUAGCUACAGAUGUAAUUUAUCCAAGUAAAGAUGCUUGGAGGGGUUCUUAUAAAAAGUGUCUUUUCCUAUGAAGAUGCCAACUGGCGCAACCUAGCAGAGACAACUCCUAAUUAGUCACAAAGUCUUCACCAUUUUCCAUGGUGUCCUUCCAAGCGAUCUCCUUGCCCAGUGCAAUUCAGCUGAGUUAAUGCAGCGUGUUCCUGCUCCAUGUCUCUCUGGUUAGCUCCCAAACACCGGCACACAGGCGUAGCUCUCCAUGGCUGCCUCCGUCCUUGCUAAGUGCCAGAGUGACGGUGACAAUCUGCAUCCAGAUUUUGGCCUGGAAUUUGACCUUUCCAUACCCAAGAGUGAGUGUUUUAUACCGGUGUUGUGAUCGACAUCUCCCUUGGAUGGCCAAGGGAGAUAUUCUGCUAGGAAAAGGGCAGGGGAAACUGGUCAAUGGGGCAUGGGGUGGCGGAGCAGAUCCAGAUCCAUCCAUCCAUGUUGUGCUGACUGGGGGGAGUGGCUUUGUCCUGACUUCCUUGCACCAAAUCAGCCAACACAGGGCAGUCACCCCUCUCCAAAGCACAGUGCUUUCUGAGCCCAUCUGCACAGCAAGCUCCCAGGCUCUUCUUGGAGCACCCGUCUCUGCUUUUCCUGCAGAGUUCUUACUUGGUUAUACAAGCUUUUAUUUUUGAUAUGGCCCUUAUAAGGCAAGUCCGUUCUACAGGCAGCUUUUUGUUACGUUCAGCCUUGCCAAGAUGAUGUCAUCUUCAACAGAAACUUGCAAAAGGUUGAGCUAUGAUUAGAUAGACUGCACCAGCUCUAACUGUGAUCUUUGGCAGAGUGGACACCAUUAAGAUUGGAAGGAGCAGAUAAUAGUGUUGUUCUCAUGUGCCAGUAGCGCAUAAUGCUGAGUGCUAAGUACUGGUGCAGCAGAUUUGCAGCACUGUGCCCACUCACCGUGCAAAGGCUGAACAGCUUCUCACGCUGGCUCAUAUUUUUUCCCCCGCUUGCAGUGGUACGAACAGCAUCUUUCUGCUUCACUUUGUGUUACAGUCUGUACCACAGUCUGGUGACACAGAUGCAACCACGUUACUCCUCUCUUGGAACAUCCAUGCCACACUCAACAGCACCUGCCAAGACUGCCAACUAGAAGUCAAAUCUAUUUGCUUUGCUGCUGGGCUGCAUUGUCUCCUUCUCCUUUCAGGUUGGACAUUAGGAAAAAUUUCUUCUCCAAAACAGUGGUCAGGUGCUGGAAUGGGCUGCCCAGGGAGGCUGGUGGAGUCACCACCUGGAG